GGGGCUAUAGCGCAGCUGGUAGCGCAUCUGCUUUGCAAGCAGAGGGUCGCCGGUUCGAACCCGGCUAGCUCCA
rfam:Bifidobacterium reuteri DSM 23975 Contig10, whole genome shotgun sequence.